GACAGAGGAGGCAAGCGUUGUCCGGAGUCACUGGGCGUAAAGCGUUCGUAGGUGGUUUGACAAGUCUGGGGUUAAAGCCCGGAGCCCAACUCCGGAUCGGCCCUGGAAACUGUCAGACUUGAGUAAGGUAGGGGUUGCGGGAAUUCCCGGUGUAGCGGUGAAAUGCGUAGAUAUCGGGAAGAACACCAGCGGCGAAAGCGCGCAACUGGGCCAUUACUGACACUGAGGGACGAAAGCUAGGGGAGCGAAUGGG
rnacentral:rRNA from 1 species